rnacentral:rRNA from 1 species
UGGGGAAUAUUGCACAAUGGGGGAAACCCUGAUGCAGCGACGCCGCGUGAGCGAAGAAGGUUUUCGAAUCGUAAAGCUCUGUCCUAUGAGAAGAUAAUGACGGAAUCAUAGGAGGAAGCCCCGGCUAAAUACGUGCCAGCAGCCGCGGUAAUACGUAUGGGGCGAGCGUUGUCCGGAAUUAUUGGGCGUAAAGGGUACGUAGGCGGUCUAUUAAGUCAGGUGUGAAAGCGUGAGGCUUAACCUCAUUAAGCACUUGAAACUGAUAGACUUGAGUGAAGGAGAGGAAAGUGGAAUUCCUAGUGUAGCGGUGAAAUGCGUAGAUAUUAGGAGGAAUACCGGUGGCGAAGGCGACUUUCUGGACUUUUACUGACGCUCAGGUACGAAAGCGUGGGGAGCAAACAGG